AUUCAAUAUUUUGGUUUUCUUUCUUCAGAAAAAAAUAUUGGAAAUAUCAAAUUUGAUUCAGGGAAGUUUCUGAAAUUUGGCUGAUCUGACACAGAAUGACCCAGCAUGAAAUAAGUAAGAUUAAAGGUGCAUAACAGCCAGAACACCAAAAUUGAAAUCCCCCCCCCCCUCCCCAAUUGUCAACAGCAUUUGUCAAUCAGCAACAAAGGGACAUGGAAGACCAACAGCAGAACUGGUGUGAGAGUCUCCCCAGCUUUCAAGCUCCACUGCGUAUGUCUCAGGGAGACCAUCACGGAGACGGCUGGUGUGUUGAUCAACCUAACACACAAGAGCACAACUUUGCUGUCCUGAGACCCUCAGAGGACCACCUAGGAAGAGCCCAGAGUAAGUUCAUUGCACAUAAAUCCACUUAAGUAAUUUUUAAAAUUUGACACCCUUCACAGAUCCU